UACGGGGGGGGGCAAGCGUUGUUCGGAAUUACUGGGCGUAAAGGGCUUGUAGGUGGCCAACUAAGUCAGACGUGAAAUCCCUCAGCUUAACUCCGAAACUGCAUUCGAUACUGCCGUGCUUGAGGACUGGAGAGGAGACUGGAAUUUACGGUGUAGCGGUGAAAUGCGUAGAUAUCGUAAGGAAGACCAGUGGCGAAGGCGGGUCUCUGGACAGUUCCUGACGCUGAGGCACGAAGGUCAGGGGAGCAAACGGG
rnacentral:rRNA from 1 species